AUACACCUGUUCCCAUUCCGAACACAGAAGUUAAGCUUCGUAACGCCGAGAGUAGUUAGAGGAACGCCUCUUGCGAGGGUAGGAAGUCGCCGUGC
rnacentral:rRNA from 2 species